rnacentral:rRNA from 1 species
AGUGAACGCUGGCGGUAGGCCUAACACAUGCAAGUCGAACGGCAGCACAGUAAGAGCUUGCUCUUACGGGUGGCGAGUGGCGGACGGGUGAGGAAUACAUCGUACUCUACUUUUUCGUGGGGGAUAACGUAGGGAAACUUACGCUAAUACCGCAUACGACCUACGGGUGAAAGCAGGGGAUCUUCGGACCUUGCGCGAUUGAAUGAGCCGAUGUCGGAUUAGCUAGUUGGCGGGGUAAAGGCCCACCAAGGCGACGAUCCGUAGCUGGUCUGAGAGGAUGAUCGGCCACACUGGAACGGAGACACGGACCAGACUCCUAAGGGAGGCAGCAGUGGGGAAUAUUGGACAAUGGGCGCAAGCCUGAUCCAGCCAUACCGCGUGGGUGAAGAAGGCCUUCGGGUUGUAAAGCCCUUUUGUUGGGAAAGAAAAGCAGCAGGUUAAUACCCCGCUGUUCUGACGGUACCCAAAGAAUAAGCACCGGCUAACUUCGUG